rnacentral:rRNA from 1 species
GGCCCCUACGGGACGCAGCAGUAGGGAAUCUUCCACAAUGGACGAAAGUCUGAUGGAGCAACGCCGCGUGAGUGAAGAAGGGUUUCGGCUCGUAAAGCUCUGUUGGUAGUGAAGAAAGAUAGAGGUAGUAACUGGCCUUUAUUUGACGGUAAUUACUUAGAAAGUCACGGCUAACUACGUGCCAGCAGCCGCGGUAAUACGUAGGUGGCAAGCGUUGUCCGGAUUUAUUGGGCGUAAAGCGAGUGCAGGCGGUGCAAUAAGUCUGAUGUGAAAGCCUUUGGCUCAACCGGAGAAUUGCAU